UACGUAGGGUGCAAGCGUUAAUCGGAAUUACUGGGCGUAAAGCGUGCGCAGGCGGUGAUGUAAGACAGAUGUGAAAUCCCCGGGCUCAACCUGGGAACUGCAUUUGUGACUGCAUCGCUGAGUGCGGCAGAGGGGAUGGAAUUCCGCGUGUAGCAGUGAAAUGCGUAGAUAUGCGGAGGAACACCGAUGGCGAAGGCAAUCCCCUGGGCCUGCACUGACGCUCAUGCACGAAAGCGUGGG
rnacentral:rRNA from 1 species